GUCUAUGGCCACACUAACCUGAACAAGCAUGAUCCCUUCUGAUCUUGGAAGCUAAGCAGGGUCAGGCCUGGAUAGUACUUGGAUGGGAGACCACCUAGGAAGACCAGGUGUUGUAGGCG
rnacentral:rRNA from 1 species